GACGAACGCUGGCGGCGUGCUUAACACAUGCAAGUCGAACGGAAAGGCCCUGCAUUUGUGGGGUGCUCGAGUGGCGAACGGGUGAGUAACACGUGAGUAACCUGCCCUUGACUUUGGGAUAACUUCAGGAAACUGGGGCUAAUACCGGAUAGGAGCUCCUGCUGCAUGGUGGGGGGUGGAGAGUUUCGGCGGUUGGGGAUGGACUCGCGGCUUAUCAGCUUGUUGGUGGGGUAGUGGCUUGCCAAGGCUUUGACGGGUAGCCGGUCUGAGAGGGUGACCGGCAACAUUGGGACUGAGAUACGGCCGAGACUCCUACGGGAGGCAGCAGUGGGGAAUAUUGCACCAUGGGCGGAAGCCUGAUGCAGCAACGCCGCGUGCGGGAUGACGGACGUCGGGUUGUAAACCGCUUUCGCCUGUGACGAAGCGUGAGUGACGGUAAUGGGUAAAGAAGCACCGGCUAACUACGUG
rnacentral:rRNA from 1 species